GAUGAACGCUGGCGGCGUACCUAAUACAUGCAAGUCGAGCGAACAGACGAGGAGCUUGCUCCUCUGACGUUAGCGGCGGACGGGUGAGUAACACGUGGAUAACCUACCUAUAAGACUGGGAUAACUUCGGGAAACCGGAGCUAAUACCGGAUAAUAUAUUGAACCGCAUGGUUCAAUAGUGAAAGACGGUUUUGCUGUCACUUAUAGAUGGAUCCGCGCCGCAUUAGCUAGUUGGUAAGGUAACGGCUUACCCAGGCGACGAUGCGUAGCCGACCUGAGAGGGUGAUCGGCCACACUGGAACUGAGACACGGUCCAGACUCCUACGGGAGGCAGCAGUAGGGAAUCUUCCGCAAUGGGCGAAAGCCUGACGGAGCAACGCCGCGUGAGUGAUGAAGGUCUUCGGAUCGUAAAACUCUGUUAUUAGGGAAGAACAAAUGUGUAAGUAACUAUGCACGUCUUGACGGUACCUAAUCAGAAAGCCACGGCUAACUACGUG
rnacentral:rRNA from 1 species